CAACAUUAAUUUCAGAGAAAUAAUUAAAAUAGGAAAAUAUUGAUAAAAUUAAUAAAAUCAGAAAUGGAGACUUUUAAGAUCCAAUUUUCACGGGGACGAGCUCUAAUCAGAGAGCGAUAGAGCAGUUUCACAAGCUAAAUAAGCUCGAAACGAGACGAACAAAUGAUUCCCAUGAGCCAAUCGAGCCCUUACUCUCCUAAGAUCUUGAAGCAUCCCAGAUCUCUUUCCAAUCGAUUUCUCAUCUUCGAUAUGUCAUCAUGAUAGUCGUGUUCUCGCCGACGUGUUUGCUUAGUCGUGUUCUCGCCGCCGUGUUUGCUUAGUCGUAUUCUCGUCGCCGAUCUGUCCUCACCUUGCUGAUUUCGUCGCCUGGCCUAUUUUAACUUUUGUGAAUUAGAUGAGAUACGAUGGAGUCUUUCUCAUUCUUGCUAAAAUCAAAGACUUCCAGUUUGGCUUGCUAAGAUUUUAAGGUGCUUAUAGUGUGAAGCAAGAAGUAGCAGACAAGGGGGCAUAAGAAUGCUAGGUUCUAGUAACAAUUUGAACAGGGGUACCACAUGAUUGUCAUCUGAUACCCCGAAUUUUUCUCAAGUCUUGACUUUGGAACCGAUUAGAUAGGCAAUCAAAUCUAUACUUGUUCAAGAGAGCUUAGAAUGGUUCUUGGUGUCCCUUGUAGGGCUUUGUUAGAAGGUAAUUCUUUUGGAUGUCCCAUCCUAGACCUUCUCCAGCGGUACCAACUGAGGAGCUGAAACACUUUAAAGAGAGUGUGCUAGAUAUUUUUCGUUUGUGAUUAUGCCUUUCGAAGAGGCUGGAUAUGUAUUUUAUUGCUUUCUUUCUUACUUGGAUUAAACAAGUAAGAGAGUGUGCUCAUUUUUGUUGCAAAAAAAUUAUUUAGGAAGGAUCUUUUAAAUU